CAUCCAGGUAAUGAACACACCCAAGACAUGCAUUCAAACACCCUCAAAAAAAGCAAAACUAAAUGUUAAAAAUCAAAGACACAUUUGCAGAAAGCCCAUGGUCUUUAGGAAAACCUGUCUGAAACAGUGCUGGGAAGAUAGUUUUCUUUCUCCCCCGUCCUUUUCAAAUAUAUUUAUUUGUCUCAUGCAGAACCACCUGGCACCCCUCUCAGUUUGUCAGGUUGAUGCCUUUUUGGGCUACCUGAAAACAGAGCCCAGACAAAAUUAAGAGAAUAAAAAGUGAUUACAUUAUUGAAGGGCCUUCAGGUACAUUUUGGGCAGACAAAGCCCCCCAGGGGCUACAUCCAAAAAUGGACCAUGGGCCAUGGGUUUGCACACUUCUGUAAGUUUGGUGCAUUUGCAGAUUGGGGGUUAAUCUGUUCCAAUCCCAGCUUCAGCUAAUGAAGUCAUUUAGCCCAAGUUUGCUGCCCCCAACUCGCUUUUAUCUACAUUUCUGGCCCUGGGGCUGUGAGGUGCCCCUGACUGCCAGGCCUGGAGAGGAAUUGCCCAAAACGGGGCAGCAGCAGCUGACACUGAGUAUGGAGUUCAGAGUUACACACUCAAGAACUGCAGGACCACAAAUGUAUGGAAAACACAGAAUUAAUUUCCUAAGGCAUCAGGGUGUCUCAUCAGUCAGAGCCACAGGGAUGCAGAGCAGCACCCAGGCAAGAUCCUCUGGCUGUAAUCAACUCCAGCAUCAUCCCAGGGGUGCAGACAGAGCUCUGGCAGGUCUGCAGCCCUGUGGCAGGGUGGCCCUGUUGACAGCAGGGCUCUCCCAGGUGUGAGAAACAGCUACUCACUCCUCAUACAUUUAGAGAAGUUUAUUAAACCUUAUCAAAAACACGACAGAAGACUGAGUAGAGAAAAUAUUACGGCACCAAGAGCAGAGGAUUUUCCCCACCAUGUGUUCAUCCACACAAUGGAGAUUUUGCCUUUUAACCCUUUGGCCCCUCUCAAACUUCUGCCCAUUGACUCCUCCUUCACUGCCCAGUGGUGGAGUUUACCUCCUCAAAUCCAGACUGGAGGUCAGAUGUCACCACAGUGACAAUAUCCCAAAAGCCAAAUAUCCCAAACCCAGGCCGUCCCCUGAGAACAACACAAGGGGGGUAAAACAUAACCAUAAAUCUGUAACACUUCUCUUAACCUGCACACAUUAUAUAUGUCUGCUAAUUCUCUGUUAAUUAAUCUGUCUGUUAAUUGCUGAGAGCCAACCAUGGCAUCCCUCAUUUGCCACACAGGUCACUGCACGUCAGGAUAUAUUCAUUCAUAAGAGAUAGACCAAUUUUUAUUUGAAAGUUCACUAUAAAGCAAUCUCCAAAUGCUUUACUGAAAUCACCUUCUACUAACAAGACAGAAAGCUCACAGAAAAAUGUUUUCACUGAAAUAUAAUGAUUAGGGAUAGAGUCUGUUGAGUAGCUUAUGUCGGAGUGGUGAGCUGCAAACUGGCCUGGUGACUGGGGUACCUCUGUCCCUUACUGGGGGGAUAUCGGGAGGGGAGGGGUAAACUAGAACAUGGUUUUAAGGUUGAUACAAUUGUGGACAUCCACACAAUUUAGAGAGAUCUGCAAGCAGGUGAUGCUCCUGCCAGCAGGUGAUGCUCCCAUCUGCAGCAGGCACCCAGGACAUGAGCAAAACCCCCCACUCAGGGCCUGCAAGCGUGCCCCCAUCACUGCAGGAGAUCUGCACCCCAAUUGCCUCUGUGUGGUUGUUCCCACAACCGAAGCCCUGGGUCGAAGACUCCGUUUCUCAAAAGUUUUGUCUGUCAUUUUCACGCUCAGUUUGGGGUUUCUAGUGGUUGGUUCUGUCUUGGGGGCUCUUUUUUUUUUUUUUUAGUUUUUGGCAUUAGGCAGGUAGAGGAGCACUGUGUUUGAGGCUGCCUGGUGCAGUGAACGCAGUGCCAGUGUGCAAACACAGUGAUGCAGCCCUUGCUGGGAGCUUUCUCCCCUCAGCAGACCCUGGCCCAGCCACCACGCACAGGUGAGACCUGUUGUGAUGCCCAUGCACAUCUCCUGCCCUCUGAUCUGCAGAGGUCAGAAAUGCUUACACACACCACGUCCUGGGGCACCUCUCAUUACAUCAUUUCAUCAUCCAUCACUCCCCUGCCACCGACACGUCUGUCUCCACGGCAGCCAGUGAGGCAAGAAGGAAUUACUGCAGCAGAGGUCAGCACAAACCCCAGCAGGUCUGAUGCAGCUCAUUUCGGACGCCUGGUGAGACACAGCCGUUGAUCUUUGGUGUUUAAGUGGCACUUUUCUAUUUUAGCUGCUGCGUUCACAGAGGCUGGCUCUGCCUCCCAGCAUGCCUCCCCCCUGAGCCAAGCUGGGCCCCCAAAACAAGGAUUAAUUACCUUUAUCAACCACAACCACAACUCCUUCCUGAGUGCUCAACAAGAAAGGAGGCCCUGCUAUUUCUCUCAGCCAUCAGGUACCCGUUGGGCCAAGAAAGCAGAACCGCAAGACCUCAGCGACACAAAAUCAACGUAAAAAAACCUGGAAAAUCACACACACAGGGCUCAGUUCUGCCCCAGCAGCCCUCCCUCGCCUGCUGCUCCUGACCAAGCCCUCAGAGCAGGAGACAAUGCUGCAGAAGUCAAAUGCAGUUGAUUAUCAAUCGUUUAUCAGCCAUCACCUGCACACAAACACCUGCAUGACAGAGGUGAUGCUGCGCGGGUGUGCCUGCUGGAGCCCCCCACUCCUCCACCACUUCUUCUCCACCAUUCUCUCAAGAGAGCUUUGCCCUGCACAAUUUCAGAUCUCCCCAGCAGAUUUAUUAGGAGGAAGGAUUUUUAAUAGCUCACUGAAAUUGCUCCGUGAGAGCCACGUUGAAGAGAGCAAGACUGGUGCAAAAAGGAGGUUGCAAUUUUCUUGUCACGCCUGAUCCUCCAUGAACGCACAGGGUUAAAAAUAAACUCUGGCUCUGGAGGACAGCAGAGACAUCCUGUCAAAGGUGUUGGGCACGAUCCCCACAGCUCCAGAGAAGAACACAAAAUCUUUGGCAUUUGCCGAAACUGGAGAAACAAGCCUUGUAAGGCAGAGGAAGUGAAAUCAGAGAGAAACAGAAACAGCCAUCCUAAAUUUCCAACAGGUGGGGCCCCGGCCUAGUCCUGAGACAUCAGAGCUGUAAAUGAGUUGUAAAUUUGUUGUAAAUGGAAAAUGUAGUUAUCGGCUUUCACAAUUAUGGGUUGGCUUUUGCAAGUUACAGUUGAUCACAAAUAUUCUGAUACAGUGCUGUUUGUAAUUCCUUUAAACUGCUUUUUGGUCUAGUGUGAUCUGUCAGCUUAUUUGUGCACUGCAUGGCUUAUAGAAAUAGUAGAGUGAUAAAUAUAUCUUAGGCCUUAGCAUAAUAUUAAAAUAGACACCAUGUAAUGUUGAAAUGCCUUUAUUUGUGUAACUAACUCAAACAAUCGUGUGAAACAGCUCUCACAUUUGUAGACCACAUUAUCUGAAUGAUAAGAUUACGGUGGCAGAAACCAGGACACCAAGGGGAAAAAUUUACUACUGACCCUCCAGUUAGCAAGCAGUGUCAAAACAACAGAAUGGAGCCUCGAGAGGAAAUAAAAUAUAUUGAUUUAAUCUACAGGACGGCAUGCAGACGAGUCAGAGGGUAAAACCAAGCAAAAGAUAUUCCUGGAAUAUCCAAAGUCACACAAAUGUUUGAAUAUGCAUAACUCUCAUCAAGAUGCAUUUCACCACUGUCAUGAGAAGUACACAGGAAAAUUGUUUCAAGCUCAUGGUGUGCUUCUGGCAUUUUGGCAAGCACUGGAUAUUGUCCCUUUUAUCCCAUAAUAAACUUUCAUUUAAAAUUUUUGAGUAGUGAAGCUUGCUCCUGACAGGAGAGACAACACCAGUAGGGGGGUGAGGUUCAGGAUCCAGCAUGGGAAUUGCCAGAACAGAGGCAAACACCCAGUUUGGGGUGGGGUGACCGAUUCCCCAGCAAUGCAGGGAGGCUGCUGAGUUUGAAAGAUUGCAAAGGGCACGCUGCGGUGCAAUGGAAACCUUGCAGUAACUCAAGAACUUGAAUCACACUAGUUCAAGCCUGCAGAAUAAUUAAUCAGAUAAUUUCUGUUGCUCAGACAUUAUAUCACGCUCAGAAACCUCAGAAGGCAAAAAAAUGGGCAAAAGUCACAGUUCCACAGCACCAUGAGCAAAAAGGAGAUAAUAUAAUUCAAAUUUUUUUCCAAUAGUUACAGCAUUUACCUCCUAAAACACAACCUUUCUUAAUUUUUUUAAAGAUGCAGUGGAGAUGAUCAGAUCUACAAAAAAAAUUUUAAAAAAAAUUUAAAAAAAAAAAACCACAAACAACUUCCAGAAGUAAAAUUCAAAAUGAUAAUAUAGCUCUUUUCAGAAUUGGCAGUUUAUAACACUUGCUAAAAAAACCUCAGCUGGUUCUGAGCUCAUGGCAAGCACCAAAAGAAACUGAAAUGGCUGGACUGACUUGGGGAAGCCUCUGCUUCUAUAAAUACUGAUCCUGUAGCUCAAACAGAAAAUCACACCGGGAUUGGUAAAUCAAAAAAAAAAAAAAAAUUGGAAGCUCAAUUGGAAGCAUAUGUUCCUACACAUUUAGUGCUAAAAAAACCCAUCCCUCAAUCAGUAAUGACUGGUACAGAGAAAGAACUGGGAAGAGGUGCUCCCCCAAAUCUCACGUUCCUGCGGGGACAGGCAGCUGCUGACCCACAGCCCCACCAGCACUGUUCUCCACCCUGCCCCAAAAAAAGGAAAAAAAACAGUGAAAAAAAUAAAAGAUCAAGUUUAAAAGUUAAAUCAAGGCAAAUGAAGAUAAAUGAAGCACAAUCAUGCAGUAAGUUGGGGACUGAGCUGCUGUUUCUGUGCUCAGAAUCUGCUUUCCUGCAGAUCUCCUGGUACGUCUGAGGAAUCAAUGCAACUCCAUCAACAAGGGAGACGAAAUGAAACGAGCAGCAGCGCUGGCUGUCAGGCAGGUGGGAGAAUGAAAUUCACAUUAAACUGUUGGAGUGCCUCAUCUGAACUUCAUUUGAGCGUUCUCACCCCCACCAGGAGCUGCUGGCCACCCCUGGCAGGUUUGAGGCUGGGGCUGGGGCUCACAUCGCUCUUACAGGACUCAGUCACAUUUCUGGUCUCCAGGCUCCGGGAUUUUGCACUUCCAAGUGAGGUCUAACCUGUGCUUCCAGCCGCUGACAUUUCACCUGUUGGCCCAGAGCAUUUCCCAGCAGCCCCACAAACCAGCCCCUGCCAAAUGUCGUUUGUCUUGGGAUCUAAUUAUCAUCCAAUAACUUAAUUAGGCGUUGCGCACUUCUGUUGGAGCACACUGUAAUAUUUCAGGACCUUACAAAGCCCUGCAGGGGAAAGCUGAGGACCUCAGUCCGUGCUUUCUAUCCAAUAAAACUUUGUCCCACCAAAAUCUGAUCUUAUUACCCCCACACACGCCCAGUUACAAACAACCCACCUGGUAACACCACAGAAGAAACACGCAUCUUGAAGAGUUGGGAGGAAAUGCCUAACUUUUGGCAAAUCUGCAAAUAAAUAUGGCUGUGAGCUUCUCCUGUCCUUCUCCUUAUUCACAAAAGGAGCUCACUGCUGAACAAACACAAAACGUUCAUCAAAGAGCAGAUCUCAGUCCCUGGACAGACCACAGGGGGGUUUUUGCUUGUUUGUUUGAUUGCUGGUUUGGGUUGGGUUCUUUUCCAUUUGUUUGUUUGGGGGUUUCAUUAAUUUUAUUUUUUUUUUUUUGUAUUUAUUUCCCACCUGUUGCCUCAGGUGACAGGGGAGGAUGUAAAUUCACUUUUCAUCUCUUCACGAGGAGGAAGGGGCAGCCCCUUGGAGGCACAGUGACAGUGGCUCCUGCUCUGCUGCCCCUCAAACACAGACCCAGAGGAGUCUGAAGGAUCUGGGGAAUGUGCCCACGAGCCCUGAUGUCCCUCCACAGGGACUGGGGGACAGGGACAACCUGGGAAAGUGACCAAGAGCAGGGGACCCCACAGCUGUCUUCACACAAUUUAGGGACUGUGUCAUGAGAAGAUCUUACAAAAACAUUAACCCCAAGAGCACUGAUAACCACAUUUUUUAAUUAACUCCUUCUGUUGAAGGUAAUCCAUUAAAAAAAAAAAAGUUUGGAGAAAACAAAACUUGGAGAAAAGAAAACAAAAAAGCACAACACAACUUUUUAUUUCUUCUCAGAUGAUGAGGAGAAAAACUCAUCUAUUAUUUUUUUAAUUUCUCCUGAAAAUUUUUGAAGCACGGUGGUCUCUGGCCUAUCUUUCACUGGAACACCAAGGGGAAUUCCCUGCCCACAUGAGAGCAGUGAGAUUUAUGGACAAUACAAAUCCUGAGGGUGCCAAAAAAACCCCCAGCACUCCUCAGCCAUCUGCAGCAUUAAACACGCACAGGAUGCUGAGCAACACUGGGGGGGUUGCCCAAAAAAAACUGAGUAACUUUCAAUUAAUUUCAUCUUCAUUAAAAAAUGCCCUUUAAGUGCUGUUGCUUUGUUAAACAUUAAAUUAGCUGAAGGUACAGCAAAGCUGUUGGUGGCAUGUGCCAAGCAGUAAGUGUAAAACAGAGAGGAUCCACAAAAAUCAGUGUCCUCUACAAAACCAGAGCUGCAGCAGGCAGGAAAAAAAAUUCAAAUGAUUGGAUUCUGUUAAUCUGUGGGGACACGGACCUAAUACUGCAUUUAAUUUUGCUAAGUGGGAGGAAGAUUAUUGCAGGCAAGAUACAAAGAAUAUCUCUGCCCCAAUCAUGUAACAUUUGCAACCUUAAAUACUCCGAGACAGCUAUUAAUGACAGUAUCAGAACAUUUCCAUGUAUUCAAUGCAUAGUUAUGAAAGAAGCUAAACACACAGGCCUCCUCCCAACGCGGACAAUAAUUGUAAUGUCAAUAUUUACAUUCCCCUGGUCACUUGUUUCCAGUAGUAUUUUUAAAAUAAGUGUUGGUGAACUUGCUGGGUAACAAGCGCCAGCCUUCUGUGAAGGUCUGCAAAAACGGAUGGUUUGGGGCAUUUUGCUUUACUUUUGAAAGAGACUGACCCCUUGCUGAGACAGAGCCAGCCAUUCUCUUUCCACAGGUUUUGAAAGAAAAGCAGAAAUGUGUUCUCAUCAAGACCAAACUUGCUGGGAGCUGCACCUGUUUACAGCCCUCGGUUCCCCUGGGAAGAAGCAGUUUAACUAAAACCAGGACCUAUCUGCCCGUGGUAUAUACGUGCCCUAAUUUGCUGAUUUGAAACCCAGCCUCUCCCACACUGCUGUUCUCCCAAUAAAUCCAUAUCCUCAUUUUUCGCCCUGAGAUGUGAAAUCAGAGUGUACAGCAACACCUGCUUGGCGCUCGGGAAAACUCCUCUAAAACCUGAGGGAGAUCAAAACCCUUUUCUCUAAAAAACAGGAAUUCCCCCUGCAGAUCAUUCAGGGCAUGCAGCACGCUCAAUGUGAUCACACAUUUCCAGGGCAUCAGUUGAUUCACUCUUUAUGCAGUCAUUAUCAAGACAGGUUCUGUGCUUUUAACAGGUUUUCCUUUGAAGCAAAUAUCCCUCUGAAAGGGGAAAAAAAACCCCAAAAUACCAAUAUGCUAAUGGAAAAGGCAAAAUAAGCACAUUCUGCCACGGGAAUUGUUUCUCAAGGCCUUAAUGGUGAAAAUAACAGAGCAAGUCUCAUGAAGGCAUUUGGGAUCUUGCUCAGAAUGGUGGUUCCUGUCCCACCUGAACGUCCCCAGCAGCCCCAGCAGGGUGGAACGUGUCCCUGGGAGAUGGACACCACACCUGGACACAUCUGGCAGCCAAAAUUCCGCGUCCUGAGCAGGACAGCACAGCCCAGCACUCGUCCCACUCAGAUCUGGCAAUUUACAGAGUUUCAGCUGGCACAUGACCCGACAGCCAAUGCCCAAACAACUGGAAACCAACCCUGAAAGGAUCUGCAAGGUAAGGAAAACGAAAUCUGUUUGUCCAACAAGCAUUUUCCAUAAUCUUUAUUAUGUAACUCGGACAAAACACGUUGCUUUUUCAAAUAUCCACUCAAGGUUUACUGGUGAAGCUCUCUGGUGUGAUUAAUUCCACUUUCUCUCCCUCAUCUGUGUAAUUCUAUAGCACAUAUCACUCCAAUGUCUAAGUUACUCAGGUAAAUAAAACCCAAACUAAAGCAGAAAACUUUUGUAUUUUGUCCCUCCUUUGGAGAAUAGAGAUCUGAUUCUUCAAAAACUGCCACAGAGCUUUUUUCUUUUCCAUUCCAUUAAUACAUUGGUGUGGUGAAAUCAAAGCAAAUUAAAUCUGCGCAGUAUUUUUUCACUGCCAGGAGUUAGCAUGUGCAAUAUCGACUUUUCAUUAUCAUCUGAUUAAAGUUUGCCUGCCUCUGUUAAUAAACUGAAGGUUCGUGGCUCAUUGCUUUACACCUUUAAGAAUGCGAGCAAGUUUUCUAAAUGAAAGAGACUGCUUAAUUUUCAAACCUUUUUUUUUAUCUUUUUUUCUUGCAAUGGAUCGGUUUUGGCCACUGAGGGAAUUUCCUGUACACCUUAGCAAAGGUUUGUGUCUGCGUGUGUGUGUGUACAAGCACCUGUAAAAGCUACUAACACCCAAAAGCUUUGAAUACAGCUGGGGAUCAACCAAAAGGCGACCAGAAAAGGAUGUUUCCUGAUGAUAUCUCUUGAAAAUUCAAACUAGCAUCCCAUGAAAAAAAAAGAAAAAAAAAAAAAAUUUCUUCUGCCUCUUGAAUAGCAGUCUGCUAUUCUUGAGAGCACCAACAUAGCCGAUGUCUGAAGCCAUAAAAGCUCAGCUUCCUGCCCUGUAAUUAUUACUAGAUGUAAUUAUGAGCAACUCAUUCAUCACUAUAAAAGCACAACUUAAGGCUCCCAGAGAACAGACAUGGAAGGGAUUUGUUUUCAGGCAGCUCUCUCAGUCAGGCUGUAAUUUAACAACACCGCUGAUAAACAAGCGUAGUAAGCCAAUGUAAAGGAGGCAGGGCAACAUCCAUGUUUAAUAUCAUCUGGGGAUCCUCCAGCGCUCCAUUUGUAACGCUACGGAAGCGUGCCUCAGAGCAGUAAGCGGGGAUUGGAGGGCGAAUAUGACAUAACUGCAACCAUCCCAGCUCCCCCAAAGUUUGUUGGCUUCACCACGAGACACCCGGAGGCUGCCGGAGCACGCCGGGAUUAUUUACAGGUGGGGGAAAAAAAAAAAAAAAAGCACGAACAUAACACGAAUCUCUGAGCUCUCCUUGCAAAGUUACGGCUGCAGAGGUGUGCUGGGUUUCAGGACCAGCGGCUGCGGUCCCUGUCGCUCUCUCACAGGCGUCAGGAAACACCUGCAGCCACCCAAACUUCCCCAAACCCGUCCGGCGCGGCAGAAAGGCACCGGGGCACGCCAGCACCAGCCUCGAGCACCUUUCAGACAAGAUCAGCGAUUCGCAUGAGGCAACAGGAGGCGUGUGGGGGAUUCAUUUAUAAAAACACAUUCCCAAGUGUUGCCAGGAUGGCUCCAGAGUGGAAAGUUGUGGUCCUGUACCAGCAGAGAUAAUUUGACCCAAUCAGGCUACAUUUAACCUGAAAUUUCCUUUGGGAGCUCGUCCAGUGCAAGGUGUUCAAAGAUGCCACAAGCAGGGAAAUACAUUGAGCUGUGUUCCACGGCAGUGGAAUUGCUGAGUCCCACACCCAGGAGUGCCCCUGGGAAUCUGGGGGGCAGUGAGUUGCCAAUCCUCUGGGUGACAAAAAAAAAAAAAAAAAAGAAAAAAAAAAAAAGUAGAAAAUCUAGUUUAAAAAUCAUGUACAAUGUAGGCCUCUAUCCUAAAAAACACUUCGGGAAAAGUACUGUUAAUGUAAAGGUAAUAAAAAUUGGCUAAAGCAAUGGAAAA